rnacentral:rRNA from 1 species
UACGGAGGAUCCAAGCGUUAUCCGGAUUUAUUGGGUUUAAAGGGUGCGCAGGCGGGGGAUUAAGUCGGCGGUGAAAUUUUGCAGCUCAACUGUAAAAGUGCCUUCGAAACUGGCUUCCUUGAGUGUAGAUGAAGUAGGCGGAAUUUGUGGUGUAGCGGUGAAAUGCAUAGAUAUCACGAGGAACUCCGAUUGCGCAGGCAGCUUACUAAACUACUACUGACGCUCAGGCACGAAGGCGUGGGGAUCAAACAGGAUUAGAUACCCGGGUAGUCCCU